AGAUAAUAGAUACCCUGGUAGUCCUAGCCUUAAACGAUGGGCACUUGGUGUCGGGGUAGUUGAGUCCUUCGGUGCCGGAGUUAAACAACGUUAAAGUGCCCGCCUGGGGAGGUACGGUCGCAAGACUGAAACUACAAAGGAAUUGACGGGGGCCCGGCACAAGCGGUGGAGCAUGUGGUUCAAUUACGACGCAACGCGAAGAACCUUACCGGGUCGUCGAACGGUGACCGCUAUUCCUGGAAACAGGGAAUUCUCUUCGGAGACGGUUACCGAGGUGCUGCAUGGCUGUCGUCAGCUCGUGUCGUGAGAUGUUGGGUUAAGUCCCGCAACGAGCGCAACCCUUGCCCUUAGUUGCUAACAGGUUAAGCUGAGCACCCUAAGGGAACUGUCGGCGAAAAGCCGGAGGAAGGUGGGGAUGACGUCAAGUCCUCAUGGCCCUUACGUCCCGGGGCUACACACGUGCUACAAUGGUCGGAACAGAGGUCGC
rnacentral:rRNA from 1 species